UCCUGAUCUGUCGGACAGGUGUUUGGGGAUUUUUCUUUAUUAUAGAGAGAAUUCUUCUGUUAUCAGCUGUGGAGGUCUUCCUUUGCCUGCCUGUCCCUUUGCGAUUGGUAAGCUCACCAGUGGUCUCUUUCUUCUUAUUGAUGUUCCAAACAUUUGAUUUUGGUAGGCCUAAAGUUUGGCUGAUGUCUCUAACAGUUU